rnacentral:rRNA from 1 species
GACGAACGCUGGCGGCGUGCUUAACACAUGCAAGUCGAACGGUGAAGCGCCUUCCUUUUUGGUGGGUGUGGAUGAGUGGCGAACUGGUGAGUAACACGUGAGUAACCUGCCCCCUUCUUCUGGAUAACCGCAUGAAAGUGUGGCUAAUACGGGAUAUUCUGGGUCUGUCGCAUGAUGGGUCUGGGAAAGAUCUUGUUUCGGUGGGGGAUGGGCUCGCGGCCUAUCAGCUUGUUGGUGGGGUGAUGGCCUACCAAGGCGGUGACGGGUAGCCGGCCUGAGAGGGUGGACGGUCACACAGGGACUGAGAGACGGCCCAGACUCCUACGGGAGGCAGCAGUGGGGAAUAUUGCACAAUGGGCGCAAGCCUGAUGCAGCGACGCCGCGUGGGGGAUGGAGGCCUUCGGGUUGUGAACCUCUUUCGCCAGUGAGGCAGGCCUGCCUCGUUUGUGGAUGGGUUGACGGUAGCUGGAGAAGAAGCGCCGGCUAACUACGUG